GGAGGAGUCUGAGGCAGAUGGGUGGGGUGAGGGGAGCGGGGGGAUUCGCGGGGGCCCGCGGGGGGCACUGGCAGGAUUCGGAAGGGUGCAGUGUGGGAGCUCGGGGGCCGAGGGUGCAUGGCAUGGAGGCAGGAGCGAGGAAGGGGGCCCGAGGAGGGAUAUUUACCGCGAGGAGGCGCGGGAAGUGCUGGCGGAGGUGCUGUGAGGGUGUCUCGGAAAGGUGCUGGGCGAGGGGCGUCCAGGCGAGGGAACCGAGGGGCCUGGGACGUGAGUGCGGAGGGAAGCGGUGUGCAGAAGUGGGGGCUGCCCAGGAGCGGUAGUGACACCCAGACGGCCCGCAGAGGGGCCCGGGCGCGGCGCUGCUGUGAUGGAGACCGGGGAGCGUGGGGAAGGUUCGGAGAGGCCCAGGGCUGCGCUUCCCGGCUUGAGGGGUCCCAGGAGUGAGCGGGAUCGAGAGUGAUCUGUGCAGAGAGGGAGUCUGCGGACCGGGCCAGAGGCUCAGGUUGUUCGGAUGCUGGCGGGACUCGCGUCAGCAUUCGGCCCCAGAGCCCGCGUGAGGGGCGGCGGGUCCUGAAGGACCAACCUCCUGCACGUGAGGGUGUCGUGACUGAGAGGGGCCUGGGCAGUGGGCAUUUUCGGGUGCUGUGCAGCAAGGGGACCGGGGGAGUCCGUCGAGGGCAGAAGAGCGGAAGGCGCUGGUGGCAGACCGAGUCUGGCAGGGACUGUGCUUGUGCAAGGCAGCUGGCCACUGUCAGGCCUAGGACGACGGCCAGAGCGUGGGAGAGACGACAAAGUGCCCCCUCAGCCUGGGAGCGUCGGGGCCUUUGAGCGCCCGCGUCCUCCGCUUCCAACUUGCAGGCCACACUCUGCAGCCCCGUAAGCCGGGGGGGGGCGGGGUAGUGCCGCAGGAGGGCGGGCUCGGGGGUGGGGCAGGAGCGCUCGCGCGCGCUCUCCACGAAUCAGGAGGGCCUGGGAGGGCCUACAGGGCGCGACGUCGGUGGGCAGGGUUCAGUGGGCGGCCUGAGGCGAAGAGCUGCUUGCCGCCGCCUGCUAGGUUGCGCGCGCACUUCAGGCCUUGCGGGCAUGUCCAGCUCUUCUGUGGCUUCCAGCAGGCGAGGCCAAACAGGAUCUUUCUCACUUCCCUACAUCUCCUGGAUCCUGGAGCUGAUGCAGUCAGGUCCCGUGCUCACCGGGGGAACCGGCGAGCCUCUCCAAAGUAUUAAAGGACACUUCCGGAAGAGCCUUUGGCCUGUGGUCAGCCCGCAGACAUCGGUGGUCUCUGUACCUGUAGGAGCCCCAUGAGGGUCCAGGUGUGGGAGACAGUCCUGGGACAGGGCUUCUGCGGCCGAGGCAGGUGGGCAGGCACUCCAGGGGAGCUGCUGUAAAAGGUUCCUGACCAAGCUGGUGCUUCUGCGUGUGUUCCUGCAUGACUUGGUGUGUCCCCUUCUCUUGGAUCUGUCAGCCUGCACACAGGCCUGUGCUCUUCAAGACCACGCAGGCCUCACCAUUCCCUCUGACAGCUCACUGCUGCCCUUCUUCACACACGCAAGUUCCCUGUGUGACAUCUGAGUUGGUGACUGUGGCUUCAAAUGAUCAGGAAAGUAUGUUCCAGGCCCAUCCUCCACCCUCUAUUUCUCUGUCUCACAACACAAAUGUUAAGAAAUGGAUUUGUGUUGCUUUGUUC
rnacentral:lncRNA from 1 species